UUCUUCUCAUUCCCCUUCUCCUGUACUUUUCUCCCUUCUGAAUCAAAGAUCAAACCAAAUCAUCUCAUCAUGAAUCAUUCCAAGCGUCACCAGGGUUGUUCUUAUCGAUUGUCAUCAAAGUUGAGAUCCGCUUACCUGCGGCUAGAUUUCCGCCAUGAACUGGGUUUCAUUUGCUUGAGGUUUGAAUCUUCCGAUUGUUGAAGCCUUUGAAGCCGAUCCUUUUAAAUUUCCAGUUCCCGAGGUAUUAUCUGUUUGUAACAGUAGUGGUUCAGCAUCUACAGUGGAUUCAACAUCAGGUGUUUGGUUCUCAUAUCUGGUUAUUUGUUUCUUUGUUCUUUGAUUAUUUGUUAGAUGUACAGAUUCUACAGAUUGUAGUUAAGAGCCGCAUAUAAAUGUGACCAGUUAUG